rfam:Zea mays cultivar B73 chromosome 8, whole genome shotgun sequence.
UAGCUUUGUCUUAAGUCAAACUUCUUUAACUUUGACCAAGUUUUUAGAAAAAUAUAGUAGCAUCUACAAGUUCAAAUAAAUGCUCCAUCAAAACAGAUUUCAUAGAAAAAAUGACGGAACUAAUUUGAUGUUCUAAAUGCCGGUAUAUUUUCUAUAAAAUUGGUCAAAGAUGAAGAAGUUUGAAUUAGGAACAACAGAA